GAGGGUGUCGUCUCGCUUGCCACCCUAAGCUCACUAUCUUUGUGUGUCAAGUAGGCAGUUGAAUAUAGGAGUACACAGCUCAGAGACACAGCCUAAAAGAAGAGGAGGAUCAGCACACGUGUUCUUGAGGGAUUCUAUAGCAUGUCUGUGCAUUGAUGAGGAUGAUCCAAUGACAAGCAAGAGAUUGAAAGUAAAGCGAAGACAAGGGGAUCCUUGAGAAGGUGUGGAUGAACAUGACUCCACCAGACGUGGCUUUAUUCCAUGCAGAAUAGUUCUUGAAUAUUUAAUGCAAAAGUGUGUUUUCCCAAGGUUCAUCUGGAUGGAAUUUUAUCUUGAGCACUUCAACUGACACAGGCUUCUGGUGAUCAUGUGAAAAGCAAGCCUGUUAUUUCAUAAGCUAUGGAAAUGUGGAACCCGCAGGACAGCGAGGGACACACAAGGACACCUCAGCAAAGGUGCCUGCACAUGGAGCCAAGACCAGGUCUCCGUGGGUAAUCUGGUUGGGGACUACUGGAAGCGUCUUUCUGUAAAGCCCGAUCACUGGUCUCAAAUAAGUGUUGCCUAUGAGAAGAACAAGACUGUUGAUUGUGUUGGCCAUGAAAUAUAUGCAUAGGAAAAGAAAACGCAUUAAUAUUUUAUCAACAACCGUAAAAAUACUCCAGAAAGAUGUAAGUUAUGUCGGCAAAGCAUGUUUUACAUCUUUUUGUAAGCUACCUCAAGUCCUUCCUUGGGAGAAGCUGGGCUAUGCAUUAAAGAAUGUAAAACUAGAUUAUAUAAGGUCAUACUUUCAGUAUUGAAUUUAAAGAAUGACUCUGGAC